rnacentral:rRNA from 1 species
AACGUAGGGGGCCAGCGUUGCUCGGAAUUACUGGGCGUAAAGGGUCCGUAGGCGGUGUGGCAAGUCGGACGUGAAAUCUCUGGGCUUAACCCAGAGGCUGCUCCCGAAACUGCUAUGCUAGAGUGCGAGAGGCGAGUGGAAUGGUCGGUGUAGCGGUGAAAUGCGUAGAUAUCGAUCGGAACACCCAUGGCGAAGGCAGCUCGCUGGCCUAAGACUGACGCUGAGGCGCGAAAGCGUGGGGAGCAAACAGG